AACGAACGCUGGCGGCGUGGAUAAGACAUGCAAGUCGAGCGAAGUACGAAGGGUAGCAAUAUUCUUUAUACUUAGCGGCGAAAGGGUGCGUAACACGUAGAUCAUCUGCCUCCAAGUGUGGGAUAGCCCGGCGAAAGCCGGAUUAAUACCGCAUGUGGUCGUGAGAUUAAAGCCGGGGACCGUAAGGCCUGGCGCUUGGAGAUGAGUCUGCGGCCUAUCAGCUUGUUGGCGGGGUAGCGGCCCACCAAGGCUAAGACGGGUAGCUGGUCUGAGAGGACGACCAGCCACACUGGAACUGAGACACGGUCCAGACACCUACGGGUGGCAGCAGUCGAGGAUUUUUCUCAAUGGGCGAAAGCCUGAAGGAGCGACGCCGCGUGGGGGAUGAAGGUCUUCGGAUUGUAAACCCCUGUCACUUGGGAACAAAUUAUAUGACCUAACACGUCAUGUAUUGAUAGUACCAGGAGAGGAAGACGUGGCUAACUCCGUGCCAGCAGCCGCAGUAACAC
rnacentral:rRNA from 1 species